rnacentral:misc_RNA from 1 species
UUCCAUUUCUGUGGGUGUGAAGGAUAGCAAGAUAAGCAUAGUCAGUUUUAAAAAACACAAGGAUUUUGCUUGAUAAGAUAAAAUUAUUAAUAAUUCCUUCUUUGAGUAUUAAAACAUGACAGAGCAGAGUGCCAUUUAUUUACUAUUCUACUUCUCUGAUGUACUGUCAUAUUAUAUACUAUCCUUUAACUAUUUCUUUGGAAUGAGCUUUUCUCUGAUAUAAGCAGAGUCAUGUCAUAAUGCCAUAUUGCAUUUGCGAGGUAAUUUUGUGAUAUGUUCAUUUUUCUUUCAUAUUUGGAAUUUUGAGCUGGAGCUUGAAAUUUUUAUUAGAAGCUUGAAGUGAACGCCAGGUGAUUUAGUCAAAGCUCAGCCUAGUGGUAGUUGUUUCACGUGCAUUCAUAUCAUCACUUCUUUCUUUUUAAUAAGUAAAAUUUUGUAAUAUGAUGGCUUUAUGGUCUGUUGUUCAUUAGCAUGUCUGAUCUAUUGUUACUUUAAUCUAUUGGUUUCCUGUUAUUCGAUAGCUUUUUUUUUUUUAGAAUUUCCAUUGCUUAUGCUCUUUUUCAUGUCUUAUUGUGUUGCCUUAGGGUUUUCUGCAGGAAUGGAGCUGAGCACCGUAAAAGAUGCAUUUGAGCAACAGCUGAGUACUGUAAAAGAUACAUUUGAGCGUGUUGCUAAGAAGCAAAAACUGUCAUCAUCCAAGUCUCAAGAGGUAAUUGAUCAGGUCAGUCAUGAAAUUGAACAAGCAUUGGCAAACAUAAAGUCAGUUCAAGGUCCCAUGUCUCCUGUUGAUCAGAAAUCCAUCCUCACUGAGCUAAAGGAUAGGCUAAAUGCAAUUAGUCCACUAAGCCAAUUAGAAGGAUCACUGAAAGAACUAAACAUUGAUCUUAGCAAGUACCCAAAAGUCCUUGAAAAAACUUUCAAUCCUGACAUAUCCAAGAGUUACAGAAAUUUUGACUUUGACUUCCAUACAGUGAAUCAGAUAAUAAGAAGCCAUUUUUACCGGCAAGGACUCUUUGAUCUUGGGGAUUGCCUAAUACAUGAGGCUGGAGAACCAGAAGCAACAGCCUUAAGAUCUCAAUUCUUGGAAUUGCAUAAAAUACUUGAUGCUAUUAAGGUUAAAAACCUUGAGCCUGCCCUUAAAUGGGCUUCCACCAACCGUGAAAAGCUCCAGCUGAAUGGUUCAAAUCUGGAGCUUAAAAUUCACCGCCUACAGUUUUUGGAGAUUUUGAAGGGGGGAAAUCGUGCUGCUGCCCUUAAUUAUGCCAGAACUUUCCUUUCUCCUUUAGCUUCGCUUCAUAUGAGAGAAAUUCAGAAGCUCGUGGUUUGCAUCUGUUGGAUAGGGAAGCUUGAAAGCAAUCCUCAUUCCGAGUUGUUGGAUCCAACUCAUUGGGAAAAGUUGUCUGAUGAGCUAACUCGGGAUUUCUGCAAUCUUUUAGGACAUUCCUGUGGGAGCCCAUUGACCUUGGCAAUGGCAGCUGGGAUUGAGGGGUUGCCAACUCUAUUGAAGCUGGCAAACGUGAUGGCUGCAAAAAGGCAAGAGUGGCUGGCAAUGAAACAGCUCCCAGUGCCAGUUGAAUUGGGAAGAGAAUAUCAGUUCCAUUCGAUUUUUGUUUGUCCUGUAAGUAGGGAGCAAGGUAGUGAAGAUAAUCCACCCAUGCUGAUGCCAUGUCUGCAUGUUCUCUGCAAGCAAUCAAUCACCAAAAUGUCGAAGGGUUACUCAAGGACGUUUAAGUGUCCUUACUGCCCAGUUGAGGCUUCGGUUGCCCAAUGCAGGCAGCUAUACUUCUAAUGCUUUGUAGGAAUUAUUCAGUGGUGGUAUUGGUGGGUGGGUUGGUGGUGACAAUAUCAGUUUAGUUUCUUUUGUGGAUUACUGUAUAUAGACAUUCUUUCGAAUGUCUCGUGAUUUUGGUUCAUUCAGUCGCAUCAAUACUAAAUAUAGGCAUGUUUAUAGAUAAAAUAGAGGUGACUGCAACGAACCGGUUAAGCCAUUUACAAUUUGAAAGGAUAAAUCAUCCAUACAUUUCAUUUCAACACUGAACUCAUGAAUUAAGGUAAAAGACCAAGAACAAGAGUGAAAUGUAAUACAUUUAGCAAAUUGCACACUGAAGAUCUACAGCUUGCGUCUUGUGAAAAUACUUGUAAGAUGCAACUGAUUUCAUUCUACUUCUGCUGAUGAUGCUUAUCCAUGUGCAUAGUAGUGCAAAUUUCUUCCAGUUCAAUUUGUUACCUCUCCACUGAAGAAAGAAGAAAGUAAAGCGAAUUGAAUGGGUUGAAAUUGAAACUCAAUAUUCAAUCAUAAUCAAAUUAGCAACAAAUAGAGAAGGAAUUAGUAUUCCAAUUAGAUUCCUAUAACUACAUUACCGACCCACAUCAUCUUAAACCAAGUUCACUCAUUUUGAGAAAACCCCAUUAUCCUCUUCAAAUCAGUAAACAGAGAAGAAGAAUUUGAAGAUGGCUUCUCUUCAAUCAAAUACUCUUCAAUCAUUUCUUUGACAGACCUAGCAGACAAGGGCUGAAAAGUGACACCCCACUCAUCAACAAACCCCUUAACCAAAACCCACUUCUCCUCUUGAUCCAGUUUGCUCCAUUUCCUCUUCACUUCCUCCUUCUCCAUAGCCAAAUAGUGGCAGAGCUCAGUGAAUAAUAAUUCUUUACUCUUCUUCAUGGCCUCUUCUCUUUGCGCCAAAGGGGCGUUUAUCUUUGCCACUUCUGUAGCCAAAUCUGAUGCAAGAUCAGUAUCACUGAUUCUGUUGUUGGUGCAUGGGAUUUGGGUUCUAAGUCUGCAGAUGAAAUGGGAUGCAGUUGGAAAGGGAUAAGAUUGGGAUGUUAUGAGUUGUGAGAGGGUAUUUGGGCAUAAAAGUUGGAUUCUUAAGGCCAUUUUGAGAGUUUCUGUUUAUGGGUUGGGAUAUUUGGAGAGAUUGAGGCUUUAGGCUUAGCGAAUUGAAGGAAAUUGGUAAAGAAUCAGACCGAUAACAGGAAGAUUUCUCAUAAGAGAGCUGAA